rnacentral:rRNA from 3 species
GGGUUGUGAGGUUAAGCGACUAAGCGUACACGGUGGAUGCCCUGGCAGUCAGAGGCGAUGAAGGACGUGCUAAUCUGCGAUAAGCGCCGGUAAGGUGAUAUGAACCGUUAUAACCGGCGAUUUCCGAAUGGGGAAACCCAGUGUGACUCGUCACACUAUCAUUAACUGAAUCCAUAGGUUAAUGAGGCGAACCGGGGGAACUGAAACAUCUAAGUACCCCGAGGAAAAGAAAUCAACCGAGAUUCCCCCAGUAGCGGCGAGCGAACGGGGAGGAGCCCAGAGCCUGAAUCAGCAUGUGUGUUAGUGGAAGCGUCUGGAAAGGCGCGCGAUACAGGGUGACAGCCCCGUACACAAAAGCGCAUGUGCUGUGAGCUCGAUGAGUAGGGCGGGACACGUGGUAUCCUGUCUGAAUAUGGGGGGACCAUCCUCCAAGGCUAAAUACUCCUGACUGACCGAUAGUGAACCAGUACCGUGAGGGAAAGGCGAAAAGAACCCCGGCGAGGGGAGUGAAAAAGAACCUGAAACCGUGUACGUACAAGCAGUGGGAGCACCCUUCGGGGUGUGACUGCGUACCUUUUGUAUAAUGGGUCAGCGACUUAUAUUCUGUAGCAAGGUUAACCGAAUAGGGGAGCCGGAGGGAAACCGAGUCUUAAUUGGGCGUUAAGUUGCAGGGUAUAGACCCGAAACCCGGUGAUCUAGCCAUGGGCAGGUUGAAGGUUGGGUAACACUAACUGGAGGACCGAACCGACUAAUGUUGAAAAAUUAGCGGAUGACCUGUGGCUGGGGGUGAAAGGCCAAUCAAACCGGGAGAUAGCUGGUUCUCCCCGAAAGCUAUUUAGGUAGCGCCUCGUGAAUUCAUCUCCGGGGGUAGAGCACUGUUUCGGCUAGGGGGCCAUCCCGGCUUACCAACCCGAUGCAAACUGCGAAUACCGGAGAAUGUUAUCACGGGAGACACACGGCGGGUGCUAACGUCCGUCGUGAAGAGGGAAACAACCCAGACCGCCAGCUAAGGUCCCAAAGUCAUGGUUAAGUGGGAAACGAUGUGGGAAGGCCCAGACAGCCAGGAUGUUGGCUUAGAAGCAGCCAUCAUUUAAAGAAAGCGUAAUAGCUCACUGGUCGAGUCGGCCUGCGCGGAAGAUGUAACGGGGCUAAACCAUGCACCGAAGCUGCGGCAGCGACACUGUGUGUUGUUGGGUAGGGGAGCGUUCUGUAAGCCUGCGAAGGUGGCCUGUGAGGGUUGCUGGAGGUAUCAGAAGUGCGAAUGCUGACAUAAGUAACGAUAAAGCGGGUGAAAAGCCCGCUCGCCGGAAGACCAAGGGUUCCUGUCCAACGUUAAUCGGGGCAGGGUGAGUCGACCCCUAAGGCGAGGCCGAAAGGCGUAGUCGAUGGGAAACGGGUUAAUAUUCCCGUACUUGGUGUUACUGCGAAGGGGGGACGGAGAAGGCUAUGUUGGCCGGGCGACGGUUGUCCCGGUUUAAGCGUGUAGGUGUGUGUUCCAGGUAAAUCCGGUUCACUUUAACACUGAGGCGUGACGACGAGGCACUACGGUGCUGAAGCAACAAAUGCCCUGCUUCCAGGAAAAGCCUCUAAGCAUCAGGUAACAUCAAAUCGUACCCCAAACCGACACAGGUGGUCAGGUAGAGAAUACCAAGGCGCUUGAGAGAACUCGGGUGAAGGAACUAGGCAAAAUGGUGCCGUAACUUCGGGAGAAGGCACGCUGACAUGUAGGUGAAGUGAUUUACUCAUGGAGCUGAAGUCAGUCGAAGAUACCAGCUGGCUGCAACUGUUUAUUAAAAACACAGCACUGUGCAAACACGAAAGUGGACGUAUACGGUGUGACGCCUGCCCGGUGCCGGAAGGUUAAUUGAUGGGGUCAGCGCAAGCGAAGCUCCUGAUCGAAGCCCCGGUAAACGGCGGCCGUAACUAUAACGGUCCUAAGGUAGCGAAAUUCCUUGUCGGGUAAGUUCCGACCUGCACGAAUGGCGUAAUGAUGGCCAGGCUGUCUCCACCCGAGACUCAGUGAAAUUGAACUCGCUGUGAAGAUGCAGUGUACCCGCGGCAAGACGGAAAGACCCCGUGAACCUUUACUAUAGCUUGACACUGAACAUUGAGCCUUGAUGUGUAGGAUAGGUGGGAGGCUUUGAAGUGUGGACGCCAGUCUGCAUGGAGCCGACCUUGAAAUACCACCCUUUAAUGUUUGAUGUUCUAACGUGGACCCGUAAUCCGGGUUGCGGACAGUGUCUGGUGGGUAGUUUGACUGGGGCGGUCUCCUCCUAAAGAGUAACGGAGGAGCACGAAGGUUGGCUAAUCCUGGUCGGACAUCAGGAGGUUAGUGCAAUGGCAUAAGCCAGCUUGACUGCGAGCGUGACGGCGCGAGCAGGUGCGAAAGCAGGUCAUAGUGAUCCGGUGGUUCUGAAUGGAAGGGCCAUCGCUCAACGGAUAAAAGGUACUCCGGGGAUAACAGGCUGAUACCGCCCAAGAGUUCAUAUCGACGGCGGUGUUUGGCACCUCGAUGUCGGCUCAUCACAUCCUGGGGCUGAAGUAGGUCCCAAGGGUAUGGCUGUUCGCCAUUUAAAGUGGUACGCGAGCUGGGUUUAGAACGUCGUGAGACAGUUCGGUCCCUAUCUGCCGUGGGCGCUGGAGAACUGAGGGGGGCUGCUCCUAGUACGAGAGGACCGGAGUGGACGCAUCACUGGUGUUCGGGUUGUCAUGCCAAUGGCACUGCCCGGUAGCUAAAUGCGGAAGAGAUAAGUGCUGAAAGCAUCUAAGCACGAAACUUGCCCCGAGAUGAGUUCUCCCUGAGACUUAAAGUCUCCUGAAGGAACGUUGAAGACGACGACGUUGAUAGGCCGGGUGUGUAAGCGCAGCGAUGCGUUGAGCUAACCGGUACUAAUGAACCGUGAGGCUUAACCUUACAACGCCGAAG